UUUCCUUCCUCCAGCCGUUCGUCCCGUGAACAAAACAAGGUUUUUAUUUAUUUAUUUUUUAUUUUUUUUUCAGAAUCAAGGUAAUUGAUUUUAUUAAUUUAUUUGGUAUAUAUCAGAAAUUCAUAGCACAUAAGUUCUUCUUGGAGAUCAUUCUAAUAUCUUCCAGGAUUUUAUUUGUGCUUACAUCAAUAUUCUUUGUGAGCAUCCCUUCUGCUUAAGUCUUCUCCAUGUCAAUGGAGAUGUGCUUCAAUGUUUGCGGAUGACAUUUUAAAAUCAUCACACCAUUCGUUUAUCAUAUAACACCAAUUAGUAGGUUAAAUUUGUGUUUUCGUUUUUCGAUUUUGGUUAAAUCCGUCGUCGGUUUUAUAAAAAUCUGAAAAGUAAAGAUUAGGGUUUUGAUGCAAAAGGAUAUCGAAUUUUGUCAUCUUAGGCGCAGUUUUGUGCUCUGCUGAACGAAAUCUUAUUUGCACGUCAGUCUGAUCCUAAACUCUAUAGUUAUGAGAUCUUUAUCCCCUGUUCAUUAAUUAACUUUAAUGUUCAAUGAAUUUUCGUUGAAUUGAUUGGUUUGAUUGUUGAUACCUGUGAUGAUAAUCCAAAGGCUUGUUUCUCAGAGACAUUCGCAGUGGCCGCCUAAGAGCUUUCGCCUUCGCCAGGCUUGAGAGCUAAUGCUGUCUUUUUCCUUCCUUGGAUGUCUGAGACCUCAUUGGCCACCAUGUUGCCGCCACAAUAUAUGGCACGUUCCUGUCACUAUCUCGACGGAGCAUUGCAGCAACCAACUCGCCGUCUCGUCGGAUUUUCGAUCUUGUUGGCCACCAUGUCGCCGCCGCAAAAUGUGGCCCGCUCUCUCUCUCUCUCUAUGGAGCACUGCCACCACCAACUUACCUUCGUUUUUUUUUUUCCGUCGGAGAACUGCCACCACCAACUCGAAUGGCAACAUCUGGCGAAUGACCCCGACGAACAACAUAUAAAUGAAGAUACGAAGUUGGAAAGAAAGAACUUACCGUUUUCCGGCGAACAACGACUCCGUCGACUAUUUUCCGGCAAACAUGUUUUCUUUUCCGGCAGCUUGUAUAAACUUUAUUGAUUUUGUAUUAAGUUUACUGUAUUAAACUUCUAUUAAGUUUACUGAUUAAGUAAACAAACUUAUAGCCAUUGUAAAUUUAA